GUGAAAACGUUGGCAGUCAUAAAUCUGACGUAGGGUUCUUAACAACUGCAUUAUAAUAAGUGACAUAUUUAACUGCUAUUAACAGCCACAGUUCUCCUCUAUUUAGUGUUUGUGUUUCGCAUCAGAAUUCAGCCAUUUUGUAAAAAGCAAGGACAUAUCUACAAACAGUGUUGGGGGGAACUAUGGCUAACAUUCUUCUUCUUGUGGGAAGUAUGUGCCUCCUGCUUGCAAUAGAAACAGAUCCAACCAGCGCCACCGCAACCAAUCCAACCAGCGCCACCGCAACCA